CCUACGGGGGGCUGCAGUGGGGAAUAUUGGACAAUGGGCGAAAGCCUGAUCCAGCCAUGCCGCGUGUGUGAAGAAGGCCUUCGGGUUGUAAAGCACUUUCAGUGGGGAAGAAAGCCUUGGGGCUAAUACCCUCGAGGAAGGACAUCACCCACAGAAGAAGCACCGGCUAACUCCGUGCCAGCAGCCGCGGUAAUACGGAGGGUGCGAGCGUUAAUCGGAAUUACUGGGCGUAAAGCGCGCGUAGGCGGUCUGAUAAGCCGGUUGUGAAAGCCCCGGGCUCAACCUGGGAACGGCAUCCGGAACUGUCAGGCUAGAGUGCAGGAGAGGAAGGUAGAAUUCCCGGUGUAGCGGUGAAAUGCGUAGAGAUCGGGAGGAAUACCAGUGGCGAAGGCGGCCUUCUGGACUGACACUGACGCUGAGGUGCGAAAGCGUGGGUAGCAAACAGGAUUAGAUACCCCUGAGUC
rnacentral:rRNA from 1 species